rnacentral:rRNA from 1 species
UACGUAGGGGGCUAGCGUUGUCCGGAAUCAUUGGGCGUAAAGCGCGUGUAGGCGGCUCGAUAAGUCCGCUCUGAAAGCCCGGGGCUCAACCCCGGGAGGCGGGUGGAUACUGUCGAGCUCGAGUCCGGAAGAGGCAAGUGGAAUUCCCGGUGUAGCGGUGAAAUGCGCAGAUAUCGGGAGGAACACCAAUGGCGAAGGCAGCUUGCUGGGACGGUACUGACGCUGAGACGCGAAAGCGUGGGGAGCAAACGGG